rnacentral:rRNA from 1 species
UACGAAGGGGGCGAGCGUUGUUCGGAUUUAUUGGGCGUAAAGCGCGCGCAGGCGGUCCUUUAAGUCUGAUGUGAAAUCUUGCGGCUCAACCGCAAGCGGUCAUUGGAAACUGGGGGACUUGAGUACAGAAGAGGAAAGCGGAAUUCCACGUGUAGCGGUGAAAUGCGUAGAGAUGUGGAGGAACACCAGUGGCGAAGGCGGCUUUCUGGUCUGUAACUGACGCUGAGGCGCGAAAGCGUGGGGAGCAAACAGG